rnacentral:rRNA from 1 species
GACGAACGCUGGCGGCGUGCUUAACACAUGCAAGUCGAACGAAGAGCGACGGAAGCUUGCUUCUAUCAAUCUUAGUGGCGCACGGGUGAGUAACGCGUAAUCAACCUGCCCUUCAGAGGGAGAACACAGUGGGACGCGAGCGAAUAUAGCGUAUGAGUUAAUAUCUCGGCAUAGCGGAUAGAUAAAAGGUGGUCUAUACCUGUAAGAUAACCAUGGGAGGGGGGAUUGAGUGAGAUUAGUGAGGUUGCGGGGUAACGGCCCACCAAGGCGAUGAUCAGUAGCCGGUCUGAGAGGAUGAACGGCCACAUUGGGACUGAGACACGGCCCAGACUCCUACGGGAGGCAGCAGUGGGGAAUCUUCCGCAAUGGACGAAAGUCUGACGGAGCAACGCCGCGUGAGUGAUGACGGCCUUCGGGUUGUAAAGCUCGGUUAAUCGGGACGAAAGGCCUUCUUGCGAAUAGUGAGAAGGAUUGACGGUACCGGAAUAGAAAGCCACGGCUAACUACGUG